UCUGAUUUGUUUCCUUAAUUCUAGAAGCUUUAAACUUAAUUCCUGAUUACCUAAUUAGUCUAGGGUUUUUAAUUUCCUAAUCCCUUUAAAUAAACAUGUUUGUGCAGCCACAAACAUGUCCAUUCAGCCACACACUCUCCCAAAAUUCGUCAAAACCCAUCCACAACCUCAGAAACCAGUCCUCCUCCAUCUCUGCCGAUUUCCACCACCAUUCUUCAUCUCCACACCUUCCACACAACACCCAUACACUACCCCCAAGCCUUGCCGUGCCCCUACACCAUCCAUAAUCCAUUCUACAUCACAAAAAACCCCCCAGAAAUCAUCCUCCCCCAAUCUGCCGCAAGGAGAAGAGA
rnacentral:lncRNA from 1 species